CGUGGAGACAGGUGGUGCAUGGCUGUCGUCAGCUCGUGUCGUGAGAUGUUGGGUUAAGUCCCGCAACGAGCGCAACCCUUGUCCUUGGUUGCCAGCAUUAAGUUGGGCACUUUAAGGAGACUGCCGGUGUCAAACCGGAGGAAGGUGGGGAUGACGUCAAGUCCUCAUGGCCCUUAUGUCCAGGGCUACACACGUGCUACAAUGGUCGAUACAAAGGGUUGCGAAACCGCGAGGUGGAGCUAAUCUCAAAAAGUCGGCCUCAGUUCGGAUUGGAGCCUGCAACUCGACUCCAUGAAGUCGGAAUCGCUAGUAAUCGUGGAACAGCAUGCCACGGUGAAUACGUUCCCGGGCCUUGUACACACCGCCCGUCACACCACGAAAGUCUGCUGUACUCGAAGUCGCUGAG
rnacentral:rRNA from 1 species